GUAUCAGGAAUGACAAAUAUAUAGCUCAUCUAGCCUUGUGCCAGAGAACUUAGUGACCUCUUAAAGGCUCUUUCAUUUUUAUUUCCCUGUGAUUCCAUGAAGAUUUGAAAAUAAAUACUAUAAAAGCUUUGAGAUGCAGUAAAGGAGCAAUAUAAUAUUUUGAAUAGAUGACACCAAUGCUGUCUUCCUGGGACUUUUGCCAGAAUCACAUAAGGAUGAGGGUUGGAAGGGACCUCUGAAGGUCAUCUAACCCCACUGCUAAAGCAGCACAUUGCACAGGAUCAUGUCCAGGAGGGAUUUGAAUAUCUCCAGAGGAGGAGACCUCACCAUCUCUCUGUGCAGCCCGUUCUAGUUCUCUGAACUGCGCUUCUUCACAUGUAAAGUGACUUCCUUGUGUAUAAUUUAAAGUUUACACAAGAUGGAAGUUGUAAAUCUGCAAAGCAUGGAGAGCACUUCACGGCUUCAAAAGAGAACCUCACAUCUUCCGUGUUUUGGACCUCACAUCUUCUGUGGGCAAUAGUCACAACUGCAGAGCUGAGCUCUGGCAUCCCACACUGUGCAAUUAUGGUGCAACUGUUGAUAUUCCUACUCAGCACAGACUGGAAGAGAAUCAAUAAGAAAAAUGGCACAACAAAACCCAUAAAUAUGGCAUAUAAUCUUUUCCUUUUUUGAGUCAGCUCAUAAGGAGCAGGAACAGGAGAUGUGCCUUUCAUGUAUUCAACUUGCAUUUAAAAUGUAUUAAAUGGUUAUCCCCCAGACCGGUUUGCAGAAUGGAAAUGCGCUUCAAUUCUCAAGAAAACUGUCAGAAGAGAUGUUCUAAAUGUGUCGUAUUCAGGAACACAUUUGUUGGAAGAUUGCAGACUCAAAGUCCUUCUGCACUUACAAGAGACAGUCUGUGAAUGACCAGAAAAUGGACAAGAGGAAAGAUGUUAUUUUAAGAGACUAAAAGGUUCCAUUAUCCUGAUGUCACACAGGAAGGUAUAUGUUAUGCCUCUCUGCAAGUGUUUCAUCACAAAAGAAUGGAAUAUAUUUCAGUUUUUUGUGUUUCAUCUACUAGCACUGUUGAAAGAAAUACUGAAUAAGUCCAUAUUAAUAUACAAUUCAGGGCAAAAGGAGCCUAUCUGUAAGGUGAAAUGGUUGGUACUGAGUUCUCCAUGCCUGCUCUGUACCUGUAUUUAUUUAGCACUAGUUUUACUCUGCUCCUGUGGGGCUGCGUGUCCUUUAGAAGUUAGAAAAGAGACUGCUCUAGGAAGCUCUCACUCAGCUUAGUUUCAUCUAUAAGAAAAACAGCUCACACACUCAAAGUCUUCUCCAAUUUGCAAUCCAAAAUGCAGUAAGUGAAGGCAAUUGGGAGAUUCAUUUUAGAACCAUACUUUUUAUCUGAACUAAACCAUGAAUGUAGAUGUGCUGAUCAGCUUGAUGAUUCAUUUCAGUGUUUCCAAAUGUCACACUGUGUAUAAGUGUUAUACUGAGCUGGUAGUUUGGAUUUGCUAAAUUCUAGCAAAAAAAAAAAAUUCAUUCACAAAGGAAUUGUGGCACAAAAUGCAUGUGUGAUUACACAUGACAGCACAGAAUCCAAAAUGUUUUUAAAGAAGGCGUAAAGAAGAGAAAUACCACUCUUGUAUUUCUUCCUUCCCACCCUCAGAAGCAUAGAUUGCUUUCCAUAAAUAAGGAAGCAAAUGCCUUCUCCAUUUCAUAACUGUGCUGUUUCUUCCAGUUCAAGGAAUACUUUGUUGAAAAUGUGGGAGAAACUCAUGGCUAUUUUGAAUCCUUUCAGUCUUUUAUCUACACAAAGAGGAAUUAAUUCACUUAGUUCUUAUGGGCUAUACUUAGAACAGUUGUCAAUGGCAGAGUUGGGAUAAGACAAAACUAUCCAAAGCAGCCAAGAAAGGAUGGACAAAUGCUGGACAGGUUUUGUUUUCACAAGAAAGAAUUUAAUUGAGAAAGGUAUGGAGUAAUUCACCUAAGGUUCCUCCAUGCUAGGGAAUUUUUAACAGUGAAUAACUUACCAUUUUAACAGAGACUGAAUAAUCUCCUCUGGUUCAAGGAGCAAAUAAUCGAGAUAUAUUGUCUUCUUACACACUACAACUGAAAGCAAGCCAAGUCUGUGCUGAAUAUUAAGGAGUUUCUUUUUCUCACUGGAACUGUUCCCCCACUUUAUGAUCCAUUGUCACCCACUGUUUACAGACUCAAAGCAUCACAGAGUGUGUGAGGUGUGAAGGGACUUCUGGAGACUGUCUUUUCCAACCCGCUGCCUAGACAGGGCCACUUACAGCCAGUUGCCCAGGACUUCUGCUUUUGACAUACAAACAUAUAGGCUAACCACAGAAGUGGGGGAAAGCCAAGCAGAAUUUUAUUUUCUUUUCUUGUCAUUGAAACACCAGCAUAACACAAUUCAGAGGCAAAAGUUUUUUCCUGUCUGUUGAAGAAAACUGUCCAGUGCUUCACAUAGAUCUCAAUAGGAGAUUGUAUACUACUAUUUUGGACAAAACUGUUAGAUAUUUUCAUGCUUAUUUGUCUUAUUUUCAUCUUGUAAUCUCAAUUUGGAAAUGCUUCACAGUGCUUAAACUGGUCUAUAAAUGACUGAUCUCCUUUCUGCCAAACCAACCAUCGUCAGGCUGAUCAGUGUCUUAGAUUGGCCUAAAGACGUUAGACAACAGGAAGUGCUUCAUGUCUUGCUGAGUAAAAUAUUCUGGGUUCAAACAUAUUGCUCUAAAAAUCAAUAGAAAAAUUCAGCUGUGAAUGUGAAAGAGAGAGGCCGACAAAAUGUGCCAUAUAAAGAGAUUUCAGUGUAAUGGAGGGUUUAAAACUACAAAGAAUAGCAUUGUAUGUACUGAAUCAAGGAGCAUAAUUGUGUUGGGUUUUCUGGCUUAUUUUUAAAAACAAGAUUCAGUUGACAACCAAUAUAGAACUAA